GCCGUCGCACGCCUUCCUCCAUGACAAUCUGUGCUUGCGACAUUCAUCAACAACAUGUUGAUUUGUUUGUCUGUCUGCUCAAUGAUGUACAGUUGACACCAUUGUUUUCCUCGUUGCAGGAUAUAUUGACUUGUUGAAUUCCGCCAUCGUCACCACAUCAGCCCGGCUGCCAUCUGGGUUUCUUUUGACCCGAUGUGAUGAACACAUCUGAAGGAGAGCAGCAGAGUAUUCACGUACAUGUGGCAAAGCAGCAGGUUAGUACAGGUGUUUUUCUAAUGCAAGAUCAUUCACAGUGUCUAAAAUUUUCUACUCGUUUGCAGGUGAGGAGAAUCGUUUUAUCACUUGAGUCAAAAGUAUGCCCCAAAACUUAUUGCCAGUGGUUGAUUAGGAGACCAUUAGAUUUAUUGUUCCCAGUGGUUUAUUAGGAGACCAUUAGAUUUAAUAUCUUUAUGUUUCUAUAUAUGGAUAUUUUGUAGGUCAGUCCUUGCAUGCUUUCAGAUUUGUAUGCUAAAUUUUCCUGUAGAUGCAUAUGCUGAAUGUUUCCUGUAAAUGCAUAUACUGAUUUUUUAUAUACAGAAGUAUUUACUGCAAUGUUCCCUAUGUGCUAUUUUUUUAUUCACCAUUACGAGCAUAUAUACUGCAUUUUUCUUUAUAGAGAUGGUAUAUGCUGCUUUAUUUCCUAUAGGGGUAUAUACUGAAAUUUAUAUAACAAAUAACAGAUUUAUAUUAUCAAAUCACCAAAUGUGUAUAUUGUACUGCAUGUAAUAGAAUCUCUCUCCCUCUCAAGAAAAGGGAAAUUGUUAGAUUUAAUGCCGCAUGCACUAUUUGCUAUCUGAAAACCGUGUAUUUGCAAAAAUAUCCAAUUUUGGGCAAUAUAUUGGUGGUAUGGUCUCCUGACAUCAACUCUUACCCAUAUUGUUUGUCAACAGAUCUGCUAUCCUUAAUCGCUCAACCUGAGGCAAAACAAUCAAUACAUUGCAGAAGUUUUGGUUCAUUUCAGCCUUGGAAAUAUUUAAAGUAAGACCUGUACUACUACCACAUCAAAGAUUUAGUUGUUCCUUUGUAAUGACAUUAUUUUUUGACAGCACACAUACUCCAUUCCUGAUUCACUUGAUAUUCCUAAUUUUUUUUAAAAAAUCUUUCUCGGUGUUGUUUGAGUUCCAUUCUGAACUACAGUUUCUUGGAGCUGAUUCGGAGUCUGCUGGUUUUUUAAUUGCUUAGGUUUGGAUAUCACCAAAGAUCACAUACUGCCAUACUGGAGAUUGCUUGACAACGUUCGUUGCAGCAGUUUGAGAAGUGAUUUUCCACGCACGCAUAACGAGGAAGUGUUUCGGGUUCUGAUGUUGUGCAGUUAUGUACAAUAGUAACGAGAAGAUGUUGUGCAGUUAUGUCUUGGAAAGUAAACAACUUUCUCCUCAUUAUGAGAAAAUAAAUAUUGUUUACAGUGCUGGAUCACUGAACUUCAACAAACCAUUUUUAUGUGAUCAUUGAUUCAGAAAAACAAAUGAGUUUGAAUGAAUAUUUUUCACUUCAAUUGAUCACUACUUUCUCAAAAAAGAAGUGAGGUAAUGACUCCAGUUUUUAGUUCUGUGUUUAGAAUGUAUGUCACCUAGGAAUUAUUUGAGGGACAAUAUUUUGUCAAGCUUAAAGAUUGCAAGGGCUAUGGUGCUUUAAGGUGCUGAGAUAUUGCACACCCCAUGAUAAUUUGCCUCGACUUCCAUGAACACCGGGAGUGUGUCUGUGUCAUGCAAGGCCAUGUUGGCGCUAGCUUGGUACUGUUUUUUUUUCUGCAAACCAUUUGAGAAUAAAUUGUUUGAAAUGAUCUUAUUCCAAAGGAUCCAAGGUGGCAUUAGAGAAGCAUCCUUUUUAAUUUCCAUGCUGAGAAUUUUUCUUUUCAUCACAAUUGAUACAUAUUACCUUGCAAAAUAACAUUUUAUCUUGCACUUUAAGGUUGGUGAGAAUAUGGCAAAUCUUUUCACUUAUAGCUAUUUUCACUCAAUUGCCAGCUACCAGCUACCAGAGCAUCACCAACCUCCAAGUGAAGAAUAGACAAAUUACAUGGCAAUUGUUCCACUUUGUUAAAUAUUAGUGACACAUGUUGCAAGAUCUUAAGUUAUUUUAUUUAUUGAACCUCCUAGGUGUUACCACAAUAUAUAUUGAUGUAUUUUCAUUAAGAACAAUGUAAAGAUAUUGUUCAUCUAAUGUAAAGAUAUUGAUGUGGUUCUGCUCAGUGAAUUUCUGAUUUUUACAUUAAUUUUUAUUUUGUAUGGAAAUAAAAAUGAGGUUUCACUGCAAUCAUUUAUUUCUUUCCAUAUUGUCCUCUGGUUGCAUGCUGAGAAGUUGUGUUUAUUUUCCAUUUUUUAACUUCAAAGGAAAAUACAGUGGAGCUUGAUUUCUGUCUAAAAUAGGAAUGGCUUGUCUUGUGUGCGUAUUUAGUACCCACUACAAAAUGUAAUACAUAAUAUUUUGCCGAAAAAAAUUCAGUGCUAACGUAAACUUUUUAACUAUCUGUUCCAUUGCUGAAAGUACCAAUGUUUUGGGUGUUUUAUUUGCAAUAUCAAUUUUUAUCGUAGCAUUAGCACGGGCAUAUUACUAGUUUCAAUUUAUUACUAGUUUCAUAUGAAUUGGUUUAAUUCCAUUAGACCAGUAGAAACUCCCACAUUCUAG
rnacentral:lncRNA from 1 species